GACGUAGGGCGCGAGCGUUGUCCGGAAUUACUGGGCGUAAAGAGCUCGUAGGUGGUUUGUCGCGUUGUCCGUGAAAACUCACAACUCAAUUGUGGGCGUGCGGGCGAUACGGGCAGACUGGAGUACUGCAGGGGAGACUGGAAUUCCUGGUGUAGCGGUGGAAUGCGCAGAUAUCAGGAGGAACACCGGUGGCGAAGGCGGGUCUCUGGGCAGUAACUGACGCUGAGGAGCGAAAGCGUGAGGAGCGAACAGG
rnacentral:rRNA from 1 species